GACGAACGCUGGCGGCGUGCUUAACACAUGCAAGUCGAGGGACCGGCGCACGGGUGAGUAACACGUAUCCCACCUGCCCUUUACUCGGGGAUAGCCUUUCGCAAGAAAGAUUAAUACCCGAUAUAAAGGAUGGGGAUGGGUUCCAUUAGGUUGUUGGUGAGGUAACGGCCCACCAAGCCUUCGAUGGAUAGGGGUUCGGAGAGGAGGGUCCACAGCAUUGGAACGGCGGCCCGGUCCAAACUCCGAGGGAAGGCAGGAGUGGAGAAUAUUGGUCAAUGAGCGCUAGCCUGAACAAGCCAAGUAGCGUGAAGGAUGAAGGCUUAUGGGUCGUAAUCUUCUUUUAUAUAAGAAUAUGUAUUAGAUGAAUAAGGAUCGGCUAACUCCGUGCCAGCAGCCGCGGUAAUAC
rnacentral:rRNA from 1 species